AGGAUGACAAAAUGUUCCUGUGUUCCAGGGUAAUGCCAGGCAAUUACCUCCCCAAGAGAAGCCUUCCUUACUUUGGAGUAAGGUCCUAAGACAGCUGGAUGAGUCAGGAAAACCAUGUCCCCUCUAGGUAUUAUUAAUAUAAGCAGGAAGGGAUCUACUAUAGGAAUGAAGUAUUUAUAAAACCACUGAAAGGGACAGAGAAGUGAAAAUUGGAGAAAGCCAGUAGCAACUGUCAGAAAUCAGCAACGUGCAGGAGGCACAGAAAACUCCUGCUGAUGGUCUCAGCUUCCAGCAGCACAAAAGCAGAUGAUGUACUGGAAAGUGCUCAGAAGAUGCUACAAAACCUCAUGCCUACUGUCUGCCACUGCUGGAAAAGGAAUCAUGGUUUCUAGAAGUGCCUCUCAUUAGUGGACUUUAAAGCAAAUCCUGGCUGGCAGGAAAUUCUGAGGAAUAUAGUUCUUAGGCUUCCAGCCUCUACCAUGCAGGAGAGAACACAGAAGGACUGAUACAUGUUGGUGGAUCCAUGUAUGUGUCCAGCACAGCGGCCUGCUGGACUCUGAGAACUGGGAAAGAUCAGAGCAAGCCUUGCCUCUUAUCUUCGGGAAACCAGAAUAUGUGUGGGGUGGUAGGAGCCACGCAGACUCUCCUGAGUCCCCUCACUGACUUCCUUCCCCCUGUGCCUUUCCUUUGAGAGUGAAGGUGGGUGGAGUUGACCAGAGAAAGGGGAGAGAAUUCAGGAAAGACCCAAAGUGUUUGUAAUUCUUCUUUGUCCUUUUACCUACAGAAAUGGUCACAUGGUUCUAUUUAAAUAGCCUAAUAAACACAUCUGGAGCCUGUC